rnacentral:rRNA from 1 species
CCUACGGGGGGCUGCAGUGGGGAAUAUUGGGCAAUGGGCGAAAGCCUGACCCAGCGACGCCGCGUGAGGGAAGAAGGUCUUCGGAUUGUAAACCUUUGUCAACAGGGACGAAGAAAGUGACGGUACCUGUGGAGGAAGCCACGGCUAACUACGUGCCAGCAGCCGCGGUAAUACGUAGGUGGCGAGCGUUAUCCGGAUUUACUGGGUGUAAAGGGUGAGUAGGCGGGAAGUCAAGUCAGAUGUGAAAUGCCGCGGCUUAACUGCGGAACUGCAUUUGAAACUGAUUUUCUUGAGAGUCGGAGAGGCAAUCGGAAUUCCUAGUGUAGCGGUGAAAUGCGUAGAUAUUAGGAGGAACACCAGUGGCGAAGGCGGAUUGCUGGACGACAACUGACGCUGAGACACGAAAGCGUGGGGAGCAAACAGGAUUAGAUACCCGAGUAGUC